UACGUAGGUGGCGAGCGUUAUCCGGAAUUACUGGGCGUAAAGGGCACGCAGGCGGCCGUUCAAGUCUGACGUGAAAGCUCCUGGCUUAACUGGGAGAGGUCGUUGGAAACUGAAUGGCUUGAGGCGAUGAGAGGGGUGCGGAAUUCCCGGUGUAGUGGUGGAAUGCGUAGAUAUCGGGAGGAACACCAGAGGCGAAAGCGGCGCCCUAGCAUCGUCCUGACGCUCAUGUGCGAAAGCGUGGGGAGCGAACGGG
rnacentral:rRNA from 1 species